rnacentral:rRNA from 1 species
AUUGAACGCUGGCGGCAGGCCUAACACAUGCAAGUCGAGCGAGCGGCGGACGGUUGAGUAAUGUCUGGGAAACUGCCUGAUGGAGGGGGAUAACUACUGGAAACGGUAGCUAAUACCGCAUACCAUCGGAUGUGCCCAGAUGGGAUUAGCUAGUAGGGUGGGUAACGGCUCCCCUGGGCGACGAUCCCUAGCUGGUAUGAGAGGAUGACCAGCCACACUGGAACGGAGACACGGUCCAGACUCCUACGGGAGGCAGCAGUGGGUAAUAUUGCACAAUGGGCGCAAGCCUGAUGCAGCCAUGCCGCGUGUAUGAAGAAGGCCUUCGGGUUGUAAAGUACUUUCAGCGGGGAGGCGUUACCCGCAGAAGAAGCACCGGCUAACUCCGUGCCAGCAGCCGCGGUAAUAC